ensembl:antisense Gm43137 predicted gene 43137
CUGCAAAUGCAGCCCGCGUCGCUCCCGCCUCCGGCCCUCAGAAGACCGCUCGCCUCGCCACGGGAGUCGCGCCUGCCCCAAGCCUCCUCCUCCGCCCGGCCGUGGUUAGACCAGGCGGGCUGCGCGCGCAGUGCGGGCCGUCCCGUUUCCCAACGAUCAGGCUAGAACGCGGCCCGGAACGCAGACUCAGGCGGCUCCGGAGGCAGCCCGGGGUCCUGAUUAACGCGAGCGCAGCCCGGCAGUGGCGCGGGCAGCUUGGUCGGGGUCCUGAGUCGGACUCGGCGCGCUGCCUGGCGCGGCUCGCUCUUCAGGUGCGCCGCCCCGAGUUGUCGCUGCUGGAGAGCGCGAGCGGGCUCCUGGGUCACCCAGACUGUGUGUCAUCCCGAAGCCAGCAGAGCUGGGGCCAUAGUGCUUGACUGAUAGGGGCUGAGGAUGAAUACGGCGGCCAGAAAGCCCAGCUCUGCCUCCUGUUGUUAAUGAAGAUUUUCUCUGGAAUACAGGCAGAAUGCCUAUACCAUUCCGACGGAUAACGCGAAAGCCUACCUAGCACUGGGAUUAAAGAUGUGAGCCACCAUGCCAGGCUGCUGAUUUUAA